GGCUGGUCCAAUAGUAGUGGUUAUCAGAACUUAUUCACAUUAGUGUUGCUAAAGUUGGUAUACGACUAUCCACUGCUAAACUCACUGACAUUAA
rnacentral:sRNA from 10 species